CUUCACCGAACCGAGCCACAGCGGCCGGUCCUCCGCCCGCCCCUGCCCGUAGGUCGCCAGCAACGCCUGUGCCUC
rnacentral:antisense_RNA from 1 species